rnacentral:misc_RNA from 1 species
GGAUGGUCUGAACGAUAAUAUCAGACUUCUUGUUACUUCACACCAGUAUACGGAUUUCUCCCAGCUUGUAUCAUCCGCUCUUAAUGUGGAGAGAGUCAGAGGUAAUGAGUAGUCUAGGAGGGACAGACAGCGUAAGAGGGGUUCUGGACAGGGCCAGUCUAUUAUAUCAGUUACUGAUAGUAAGAAGCCCAAGGGCCAGACACAAGGCCGAAGAGGGUAGUCUGAUGUAUCUAUAGUCAGUUCUCCUGGCAUAGCAACAAGGGGAUCAGUCCCAGUGCCAGAGUGUACACAUUGUGGGAGGAGGCACCGAGGAGAGUGUUAACUAUUGACUGGGGGAUGCUUCUGAUGUGGAGCUACCGAUCAUUUUCUACGAAAUUGUACACAGAGGAGUGCUCCCACCGCUCCAUCACAAACUGAGAGAUCUGCCCCAACAACACAGAAGGAUAGAUGACCUGCGAGAUCAGAGGCAGCUGGUACGUCACAGAAACCUGCUAUAGAGACUGUUGAGAGGCCUGAGGCUGGAGUAACACCUCGUGUAUACGCUAUGAGGGCUCUAGAAGAGCCAUAUCUGGCAGACGUUAUCAGAGGUACAUUUCUAUUUAUAAUACCUUUGUAUAUGUAUUAAUAGACCCUGAUUCUACUCAUUACUAUAUAUGUAUUGUGUCACACCUU